UUUACUCAAUUGGAAGAGUGCAUCUCAUAUUGGUACAUUUCAAGGCACAUUAAUGCAUGAACUACUAUCAUCCUAGCAAUGAUGAGAUAGAGGAUAAUUUCUUGCACAAGAAACUCCCAUCUUUGCCUCAUUUGAUUCUAGUGUAUAUAUUGAGUAACUGGUAUCUCAUUGGGGUGGACAAGGUCUGUGACUGUUGUUGUCGACAAGAACUGUCUGGCUUGCUGCAUUCUGGGUGUUCUGACCAUUACUAAUGGCCAUGUGAAGUACGGUAUAUAAAUGUGAGAGCGUUACCUGGGCCAUCAAGCUACACCUGGUACUGAAAUAAUCCAGGUAGCCAAGGAUGGUGUUUGUCCUUUUGUUGGCUAUGUCACAUUACUGGUUGAUGACACUUGAAAGACACCAUGUAUUUGAGACAACAGCAAAAUCAACAUGGUCCUUAAUACUUCUAAAAUGAUCUGUUGCCAGACAGCUGACAGUUGUUUGGCUGAAAUUCUUUGUCAACAUUAUUAAUUAACAAUGAGUUGAUGUCUGCUACUUGUUAUGAGUUCAUUUGAAGCCAUGCUCUAACUAGAAGAAGGAGUCAUGAUCAGUGAAACCUGCACUACUACAGAAAUGGGAGUGAUGAAAGUAGUCUUAGUUGCUAGUUGUACCAAGAGGACAGUUGUGACUUCAGGGUAGCAAUAAAAUGUUUGUCACUGCUUAUCUUGCAUAUGCAUUGGAUGUCCACAAAUAAUCAUGAGUCAUCUGACUCUUGUCAGAACUAUAAUUAUAAUAACGUCCAAACAUUGUGGUCAGAUCUAUAAUUUGUGACUUGUAAUAGACAACUGCCAUUGUGUAUGUGCAACAGCAGCAGUCGCUAUUUCUUUUCUCACUGGAUGCAGAUCAGCAUCUAUACACAUGAUGCAGUCAAAACGUAGACAAUAGCCAUUGAAUUAAAUGAGAAUUUAUUUAAUUCGCUAACAUACCACAAUGUAUAUUAAGUUCAAGACAUGAGCACAAGCAGACUGUUUGAUGAGGUACCGUAUUUCUCCAAAUAAUUCGUUCCUGAUUAAUUCCCUGCCUGUAUAUUUCCCUUAGUAUACACCCACUGUGAA